UGUCGGGUAAGUUCCGACCUGCACGAAUGGCGUAACGAUGGCGGCGCUGUCUCCACCCGAGACUCAGUGAAAUUGAAAUCGCUGUGAAGAUGCAGUGUAUCCGCGGCUAGACGGAAAGACCCCGUGAACCUUUACUAUAGCUUUGCACUGGACUUUGAAUUUGCUUGUGUAGGAUAGGUGGGAGGCUUUGAAGCGUGGAAGCCAGUUCGCGUGGAGCCAUCCUUGAAAUACCACCCUGGCAACUUUGAGGUUCUAACUCAGGUCCGUUAUCCGGAUCGAGGACAGUGUAUGGUGGGU
rnacentral:rRNA from 1 species